rnacentral:rRNA from 1 species
CCCGCACAAGCGGAGGGACAUGUGGUUAAUUCGAUGAUACGCGAGGAACCUUACCUGGGCUUAAAUGUAGAGUGCAUUUUCUAGAGAUAGGAAUUCCCUUCGGGGCUUUCUGCAAGGUGCUGCAUGGUUGUCGUCAGCUCGUGCCGUGAGGUGUCGGGUUAAGUCCCAUAACGAGCGCAACCCUUAUCGUUAGUUGCCAUCUGGUAAAGCAGGGGACUCUAGCGAAACUGCCACCGUAAGGUGAGAGGAAGGUGGGGAUGACGUCAAAUCAGCACGGCCCUUAUGUCCAGGGCUACACACGUGUUACAAUGGCCGGUACAGAGGGCAGCUACCUGGUGACAGGAUGCUAAUCUCGAAAACCGGUCUCAGUUCGGAUCGAAGUCUGCAACUCGACUUCGUGAAGCUGGAUUCGCUAGUAAUCGCGCAUCAGCCAUGGCGCGGUCGAAUACGUUCCCGGGCCUU